CUGACUGCAGAGGGGUGUGAU
rnacentral:miRNA from 1 species